rnacentral:misc_RNA from 1 species
GCCAACUCAAAAUCAUCAAUUCCAUUUAGAUGGGGAGUCGUUUUUCUCUGCCAAUUUCCCUUCCAAAUUGCUUCCAUUAAAGUUUGGUUGGGUUGCAGAGCUGGUGACCUUACAACUCAGGGAAUAAGCUACGCACCCUUUGAUUUGAGCAUUUAUUAUGGCUACGGCGCAAGGAACGAAACUCAGACCCUACUCUUUCAACCGCCCACUUCUCUGGAAACCUCCAUCUACUACUGUUACUGCUACUGCUAUUACUACUGCUACCACCACCGCAGCCGCUGGAGCAACCCAAAGUCGUCUCUCUGUGUCGUGGCUCUUGCGGCUUGUUCAUUCCAAUGCCUCGCAGCCACAGCCAACAACGACCUCCGGUGUUACUUGGAGUUAGAUAUAUGCAACAGCAACAGCCAGAGUCCUUUCAAAGAUUAUUCUGCUCCGAGGCCACCGACGACAAGGAGAAGAUUAGGAAGAAAGCGAUAAACACCAAAGUAAACUUUUCUCUCUCCGAUUCUGAUUNNUUCUGAUUCGGAUUCUGACGAUAAUGAGAACAAGUCCAGUGUCGAAGCUAAGAAAGAAAUUGAAAAGAGCAAACUUCCUCCGCCUUACGAUCCCUUCAAUAAGAAGCCCGUCAUCGAGGAGCCCGAUGACCCCAAAGAC